GUAGGUGGCAAGCGUUGUCCGGAAUUAUUGGGCGUAAAGCGCGCGCAGGUGGUUCUUUAAGUCUGAUGUGAAAGCCCCCGGGCUCAACCGGGGAGGGUCAUUGGAAACUGGGGAACUUGAGUGCAGGAGAGGAAAGUGGAAUUCCACGUGUAGCGGUGAAAUGCGUAGAUAUGUGGAGGAACACCAGUGGCGAAGGCGACUUUCUGGCCUGUAACUGACACUGAGGCGCGAAAGCGUGGGGAGCAAACAGGAGUAGAUACCCUGGUAGUCCACGCCGUAAACGAUGAGUGCUAAGUGUUGGGGGGUUUCCGCCCCUCAGUGCUGCAGCUAACGCAUUAAGCACUCCGCCUGGGGAGUACGGUCGCAAAGACUG
rnacentral:rRNA from 1 species